AUUGAACGCUGGCGGCAGGCUUAACACAUGCAAGUCGAGCGAGCGGCGGACGGGUGAGUAAUGUCUGGGAACCUGCCUGAUGGAGGGGGAUAACUACUGGAAACGGUAGCUAAUACCGCAUCCCAUCAGAUGUGCCCCGAUGGGAUUAGCUAGUAGGUGGGGUAAUGGCUCACCUAGGCGACGAUCCGUAACUGGUCUGAGAGGAUGACCAGCCACACUGGAACUGAGACACGGUCCAGACUCCUACGGGAGGCAGCAGUGGGGAAUAUUGGACAAUGGGCGAAAGCCUGAUGCAGCCAUGCCGCGUGUGUGAAGAAGGUCUUCGGGUUGUAAAGCACUUUCAGCUGGGAGGCGUUACUCGCAGAAGAAGCACCGGCUAACUCCGUGCCAGCAGCCGCGGUAAUUC
rnacentral:rRNA from 1 species